rnacentral:rRNA from 1 species
AGCUUCAGUAGCGUAUAUUAAAGUUGUUGCAGUUAAAAAGCUCGUAGUCGCAUUUCUGGCGAGAGGAUCCGGUCCGACCUUUUGGUGGGUUCUUGGGUCUCUUUCGCCAUCCUUGAGUGGUCCGUUCUGGCAUUAGGUUGUCGGAGCGUCAGCCGCUCAUCGUUUACUGUGAGAAAAUUAGAGUGUUCAAAGCAGGCUUAUGCCGUUGAAUAUAUUAGCAUGGAAUAAUAAGAUAGGACCUCGGUACUAUUUUGUUGGUUUGCGCACCAAGGUAAUGAUGAACAGGGACAGUUGGGAGUAUUUGUAUUUCGUUGUCAGAGGUGAAAUUCUUAGAUUUACGAAAGAGAAACUACUGCGAAAGCAUUUACCAAGGAUGUUUUCA